ACUCCAAGUGCAGAGGCUUGGAAGAGCCACAGUGGAUCCAGGCCCUGAUGCCUGAGAAGGAGCCAGCUAGGCAGAGCCGGGGAGGAGCACUCCAGACAGACAGCAAUGAACCAUCCAAAAAUGAAGUGAAGAAGACAAUCUCAUUUAUAAUAUUGGCAAAAAGAACAUACCUAGAAAUAAAUGCAACAAAAGAUGCAUAAAACUUGUGUACUGAAAAAUACAAAAUAUUUUUGAAAGGAAUCAAAGAGUAUCGAAUUAAAUGGAAAGAUAUCCUGCAGUCAUGGAUCAGGAGACAUAAUGUUAAGAUGGCCAAACUCCCGAAUUCAUCUAUAGCUUCACAAUCUCUAUCAAAAUCCCAUCUGUCUUUUUACAAGCUGAUCCUCAAAUUCAUAAGGAAAUACAAGGGUUUCAGAAUAGCCAAAACAAUCUAGAAAGAGAAGAGCAAAACCGGAGGGCUCACAUUUCCUGAUUCAAACUUACUGCAAAGCUACAGUAAUCAAGACAAUGUGGUACUGGCAUAAGGAUAGACCUACAGAUCAAUGCAGUAAAGUUGAGACUCCAAGAACAAAUCCUUGCAUUUAUGGUCAAUUGAUUUUUUUAAAGACUGUUCAAGUGCAGCAGUGAGAAGGCGGGAAAGAGUAGAACGAGGUGUUCCAUCUGUAACUGACUGUGAACAAUCAAUUGAGAUAACUCACUACCUUCAGACCGGCCAUCAGUUGAUUUUUGACAAGGGUACCAAGACAAUUCAAUGGGGGAAGGAAUAGUCUUUUCAGAAAAUGGUGCUGGGACAACUAGAUAUCCAUGUGCAAAAGAAUGAAGUUGGACCCCUACCUCAUGCUGUGCACAAAAAUUAACUCAAAAUGGAUCGUAGACCUAAAUGUAAGCACUAAAAUUAUGAUAUCCUUAGGAAGGCCAGGCGCAGUGGCUCACACCUGUAAUCCCAGCAGUUUGGGAGGCCGAGGCGAGUGGAUCACCUGAGAUCAGGAGUUUGAGUCCAGCCUGGCCAACAUGGUGAAACCAUGUCUCUGCUAAAAACACAAAAAUUAGCUGGGCAUGGUGGUGGGCGCCUGUAAUCCCAGCUACUCGGGAGGCUGAGGCAGAAGAAUCGCUUGAACCCAGGAGGCAGGGGUUGCAGUGAGCUGAGAUUGUGCCGUUGCACUCCAGCUUUGGCGACAGAGAGAGACUUUGUCUCAAAAAAAAGAAAAAAAAAGAAAAGAAAAAAUAAAAUCCUUAGGAAAGAACAUAGGAAUAAAUCUUGGUGACCUUGUGUUAAACAAUGGUUUUUAAUAUACACUACCAAAAGCACAGGCAACAAAAGAAAAAAUAGAUAAAUUGGACUUGGCCAAAGCUAAAAACAUUUGUGCGUGAAAAGACACCAUCAAGGAAGUGGAAAGACAACCCAAGAAAUGACAGCAAACAUUUGUGAAUCAUCUAUUUGAUAAGGGACUAGUAUCUAAACAUGUAAAGAACUCUAACUUAUCAACAAGAAGACAAACCACCUACCUUUAAUGAUGGGCAAAGGAUUAGAAUAGAGCUUGCUCCAAAGAAGAUGUACAUAUGACCGAUAAGCUCAUGAAAAGAUGUCCCCAUCAUUAGUCAUCAGGGAAAUGCAAAUCAAAACACAGCGAGAUACCACGAUGCACCCAUCAAGAUGGCUAUAAAUAAAAGAGACAGACAAUAACAA
rnacentral:lncRNA from 10 species